UAGAUUGAAGCCAGUUGAUUAGGGUAUUUAGCUGUUAACUAAAAGUUCGUGGGGAGCAUGCCCCACCAAUCUAG